AAACUAACAAGGAUUCCCCUAGUAACGGCGAGUGAAGCGGGAAAAGCUCAAAUUUAAAAUCUGGCAGUUUUGCUGUCCGAGUUGUAAUCUAGAGAAGCGUUUUCCGCGCUGGACUGUGUACAAGUUUCCUGGAUACGGAACAUCAUAGAGGGUGAGAAUCCCGUCCUUGACACAGAUCCCCAGUGCUUUGUGAUGCGCUCUCAACGAGUCGAGUUGUUUGGGAUUGCAGCUCAAAACGGGAGGUAAAUUCCUUCUAAAGCUAAAUAUUGGCGAGAGACCGAUAGCGAACAAGUACCGUGAGGGAAAGAUGAAAAGCACUUUGGAAAGAGAGUUAAACAGUACGUGAAAUUGUUAAAAGGGAAACGCUUGAAGUCAGUCACAUUUGUGUAGACUCAGCCUUACUUCGGUUUGGUGCAUUUCUACACGAAUGGGCCAGCGUUCAUGUUGCUCCUUGGAAAAGGGUUAGAGGAAUGUGGCUCUCUCGGGAGUGUUAUAGCCUCUGACUAUAUGCAGGGAAUGAUAUGAAGCGGUACAGCACGCUCUGCGGUGCUUGUGUUGGCAUAAUGGCUUUAAACGAC
rnacentral:rRNA from 1 species